rnacentral:rRNA from 1 species
UACGGAGGGUGCAAGCGUUAUCCGGAUUCACUGGGUUUAAAGGGUGCGUAGGUGGGUUGGUAAGUCAGUGGUGAAAUCUCCGAGCUUAACUCGGAAACUGCCUUUGAUACUAUCUGUCUUGAAUAUUGUGGAGGUAAGCGGAAUAUGUCAUGUAGCGGUGAAAUGCUUAGAUAUGACAUAGAACACCUAUUGCGAAGGCAGCUUACUACGCAUAUAUUGACGCUGAGGCACGAAAGCGUGGGGAUCAAACAGG